UACUUUUUGAUUUAUCAAAACAACUUUCAUUCAAACAAAGAUUAACGUUUUAAAAACCUCAUGACUGAACGGUGAGUUUCCGGCCAUCGGCGAUGGCAAAGGCUGGCCGACAAAGGCUAAAACUGCCGGAGAUUGGAGGGACCGCGUCGUCGCCGGAUUAUGUGUCAGACUGGUCACGGUUGACGGUUAAGGACAAUCGCAGGAAAAAAGUUUUCAGGAUUGCUGGUUAAUCCCAGUGGAGAAUUCUCGUGCUGAUAACGUGAGAGAAAUAAUUGAAAAAUGAGAAGUGUGUACUCUUUCAUUUAUCAAUCACAUAUAUAUAUAUACAAUGAUGUAGUCAAAUGUAACUGAGAAUUUAUGUAGUCAAAUGUAACUGAAACAUUAUGUAGUCAAAUGUAACUGAAACCAUGAUAAUUUAGGAGGAGAAUUAG
rnacentral:lncRNA from 1 species